rnacentral:rRNA from 1 species
CACCUCCAGCAUCCCUAGUAUUGGAGGCACUGCCUGCCCAGUGACUAAACGUUAAACGGCCGCGGUAUUCUGACCGUGCAAAGGUAGCAUAAUCAUUUGUUCUCUAAAUAAGGACUUGUAUGAAUGGCCACACGAGGGUUUUACUGUCUCUUACUUCCAAUCAGUGAAAUUGACCUCCCCGUGAAGAGGCGGGGAUAAACCAACAAGACGAGAAGACCCUAUGGAGCUUUAACUAACUAGCCCGAGGAAAAUAAAUUUAAUCACCAAGGGAUAACAACACUCCUUAUGGACUAGCAGUUUCGGUUGGGGUGACCUCGGAGAACAGAAAAUCCUCCGAGCGAUUUUAAAGACUAGACUAACAAGUCAAACCAAACCAUCGCUUAUUGAUCCAAAAACUUGAUCAACGGAACAAGUUACCCUAGGGAUAACAGCGCAAUCCUAUUCAAGAGUCCAUAUCGACAAUAGGGUUUACGACCUCGAUGUUGGAUCAGGACACCCCGAUGGUGCAACCGCUAUCAAAGGUUCGUUUGUUCAACGAUUAAAGUCCU